rnacentral:rRNA from 1 species
GACGAACGCUGGCGGCGUGCUUAACACAUGCAAGUCGAACGGAAAGGCCCUGCUUUUGUGGGGUGCUCGAGUGGCGAACGGGUGAGUAACACGUGGGUAACCUGCCCUUGACUUUGGGAUAACUUCAGGAAACUGGGGCUAAUACCGGAUAGGAGCUCCUGCUGCAUGGUGGGGGUUGGAAAGUUUCGGCGGUUGGGGAUGGACUCGCGGCUUAUCAGCUUGUUGGUGGGGUAGUGGCUUACCAAGGCUUUGACGGGUAGCCGGCCUGAGAGGGUGACCGGCCACAUUGGGACUGAGAUACGGCCCAGACUCAUACGGGAGGCAGCAGUGGGGAAUAUUGCACAAUGGGCGGAAGCCUGAUGCAGCAACGCCGCGUGCGGGAUGACGGCCUUCGGGUUGUAAACCGCUUUCGCCUGUGACGAAGCGUGAGUGACGGUAAUGGGUAAAGAAGCACCGGCUAACUACGUG